GACGAACGCUGGCGGCGUGCCUAAUACAUGCAAGUCGAGCGGAUUAGAUAGAAAGCUUGCUUUCAAUCUGGUUAGCGGCGGACGGGUGAGUAACACGUAGGCAACCUGCCUGUAAGACUGGGAUAACAUUCGGAAACGAAUGCUAAUACCAGAUACGCGAUUUCCUCGCAUGGGGAGAUCGGGAAAGACGGAGCAAUCCGGCAAUUGCAGAUGGGCCUGCGGCGCAUUAGCUAGUUGGUGGGGUAACGGCCUACCAAGGCGACGAUGCGUCGCCGACCUGAGAGGGUGAUCGGCCACACUGGGACUGAGACACGGCCCAGACUCCUACGGGAGGCAGCAGUAGGGAAUCUUCCGCAAUGGACGAAAGUCUGACGGAGCAACGCCGCGUGAGUGAUGAAGGCUUUCGGGUCGUAAAGCUCUGUUGCCAGGGAAGAACACUUGGGAGAGUAACUGCUCUUAAGGUGACGGUACCUGAGAAGAAAGCCCCGGCUAACUACGUGCCAGCCGCCGCAGUAAUAC
rnacentral:rRNA from 1 species